rnacentral:rRNA from 1 species
UACGAAGGGGGCUAGCGUUGUUCGGAAUUACUGGGCGUAAAGCGCACGUAGGCGGAUUUGUUAGUCAGGGGUGAAAUCCCGGGGCUCAACCUCGGAACUGCCUUUGAUACUGGAAGUCUAGAGUCCGGAAGAGGUGAGUGGAAUUCCUAGUGUAGAGGUGAAAUUCGUAGAUAUUAGGAAGAACACCAGUGGCGAAGGCGGCUCUCUGGUCCGGUACUGACGCUGAGGUGCGAAAGCUAGGGGAGCAAACGGG